GAAACGAUCCUAGCUUGCUAGGAGGCGUCGAGCGGCGGACGGGUGAGUAAUGCAUAGGAAUCUACCCAGUCGUGGGGGAUAACCUGAGGAAACUCAGGCUAAUACCGCAUACGUCCUACGGGAGAAAGCGGGGGCUCUUCGGACCUCGCGCGAUUGGAUGAGCCUAUGUCGGAUUAGCUUGUUGGUAAGGUAACGGCUUACCAAGGCGACGAUCCGUAGCUGGUCUGAGAGGUGAUCAGCCACACCGGGACUGAGACACGGCCCGGACUCCUACGGGAGGCAGCAGUGGGGAAUAUUGGACAAUGGGCGAAAGCCUGAUCCAGCCAUGCCGCGUGUGUGAAGAAGGCUUUCGGGUUGUAAAGCACUUUCAGCGAGGAAGAAACGCGUGCCGGCCAAUACCCGGUACGGACGACAUCACUCGCAGAAGAAGCACCGGCUAACUCCGUGCCAGCAGCCGCGGUAAUACGGAGGGUGCAAGCGUUAAUCGGAAUUACUGGGCGUAAAGCGCGCGUAGGCGGCGUGUCACGCCGGGUGUGAAAGCCCCGGGCUCAACCUGGGAACGGCAUCCGGAACGGGCAGGCUAGAGUGCAGGAGAGGAAGGUAGAAUUCCCGGUGUAGCGGUGAAAUGCGUAGAGAUCGGGAGGAAUACCAGUGGCGAAGGCGGCCUUCUGGACUGACACUGACGCUGAGGUGCGAAAGCGUGGGUAGCAAACAGGAUUAGAUACCCUGGUAGUCCACGCCGUAAACGAUGUCGACUAGCCGUUGGGUCCCUUGAGGACUUAGUGGCGCAGUUAACGCGAUAAGUCGACCGCCUGGGGAGUACGGCCGCAAGGUUAAAACUCAAAUGAAUUGACGGGGGCCCGCACAAGCGGUGGAGCAUGUGGUUUAAUUCGAUGCAACGCGAAGAACCUUACCUACCCUUGACAUCCUGCGAACCCGGAAGAGAUUCCGGGGUGCCUUCGGGAGCGCAGAGACAGGUGCUGCAUGGCUGUCGUCAGCUCGUGUUGUGAAAUGUUGGGUUAAGUCCCGUAACGAGCGCAACCCUUGUCCCUAUUUGCCAGCGAUUCGGUCGGGAACUCUAGGGAGACUGCCGGUGACAAACCGGAGGAAGGUGGGGACGACGUCAAGUCAUCAUGGCCCUUACGGGUAGGGCUACACACGUGCUACAAUGGCCGGUACAAAGGGUUGCGAAAGCGCGAGCUGAAGCUAAUCCCGAAAAGCCGGUCUCAGUCCGGAUCGGAGUCUGCAACUCGACUCCGCGAAGUCGGAAUCGCUAGUAAUCGUGCAUCAGAAUGGCACGGUGAAUACGUUCCCGGGCCUUGUACACACCGCCCGUCACACCAUGGAAGUGGACUGCACCAGAAGUGGUUAGCUUAACCCUCGGGAGAGCGAUCAGCCA
rnacentral:rRNA from 1 species